CCGACUUCCAUCGAGUUCACUUCGUCCACAAGUGUCUCAUUGCGGACGAGCGUCACUCCAGGGCCAUCCAUUCUCCCUCCAAAUAAUUUCACCUGACAACGAAAAAUGUUUUGAAUAAUCUGCCGAGAUCAUGGAAUGUGAAUACCAGCUGCUGUGGAAAUUAUGAAACGUGCAGACGAACAUCAAAAGGAGGAUUAAUUGUCGCUCUCGUCAGACUGAGAAUUUCAUUUGGAGAAAUCCCCCCACCCCCUCCCCUCUCACCAAAACUUGAAUCAGUGAUGAAAAUACAGAGCAGCGCAUUCGAAGGAAAUGAUGGCUUCACUCAUUCAAAGAUAUAAGACUAUUACUGCAACUUAGUACGACCGAGAAAAUGGUGAAUGAUAAAAUGAA